CAAGUAGGGAAUCUUCGGCAAUGGGGGCAACCCUGACCGAGCAACGCCGCGUGAGUGAAGAAGGUUUUCGGAUCGUAAAGCUCUGUUGUAAGAGAAGAACGUGUGUGAGAGUGGAAAGUUCACACAGUGACGGUAACUUACCAGAAAGGGACGGCUAACUACGUGCAG
rnacentral:rRNA from 1 species